UCCGAACCAGCUUCUUUAAUUCAAAUUUCUGAAAGUUUGUCUAGUUUUUUGUAUCCUUGCUUUUCAGUUUAUGAAUUUUUACUACCUAUCACUUUGCCAUGUUUAUUUUCUAUACUGUUGCUACUUGCUAUUGCUAGUGAGCUAUGUGAGAAGUAAAGCAUGGAAUUGAAGGAAUGUAUUUUGCACUUCCAUACCAGGAUUACUGUUUAGAUCAAACAGCAUUCUUAGAUCAAAGUAUACUAGUUUCUCUAUGGAGAUCUUUAACACACUUGAUAAGUAUUUUGUCAUUUUGAGAAGAGCAAGCAGGAGAAUCACCAUAUCUUUAUCAUGGUAAGGAUGGCCGCGUCGGCUCCCGCCCAGGCCGCUUCGGCCUCCACCCCCCACGCUUCGUCUUCCACCCCCUCCUUCGCCGGCGCCGCCCAUUGCCCUCCCCAGAGCCUCUCGCCGACACCCACCCCGGGUUCGGUGACCACCUUCCCGGCCGCCGCUCCCUUCCCGGCGGCCUCCUCUUCUCCCUGCGCGCCUGGUCCUAUUUCUUCGUCGUCCGCUGCUGCUGGGUCGUCUCUCAGAGCCGGGCGCUCCAAGGCACAGCGUUGGGCGGACUACGGCCCACUCUCGCCGGCGAGAAGGCUUCGUAUCGACGACCCCAUUGGUGCUGGUGGGACGACCGCCGCAAAGACCUUUUGUGCGGCUGUGCUUUCCCAGCCGGCGGCUCGUGCUCGGCCAGCGGCCUCCACCAACAUCGCAUCGGAGCGGCCCCUCCCGAUCGUGAGGCUGAAGAACUACCCCGAUAGCCAUCGACAGCCCAGAGCCACUACACCAUCAGACGCUGAGGGCUGGAUUAAAGUGGAGACAAGGUGGUCUCGUCGUCGUCGUCGAUUGGCUGAACGCCCCCGCCCUCCCUUUCCCCGUCGACUGGUCCCACUGGAUCUCCGGGGGAGGUGCUUCAAUUGCUUGGCGGUGUCCCAUCGUGCGGCUGAGUGCCGUCGUCCGUCUUGCUGCUUGCGCUGCCGACGGCCGGGCCACCGUGCUGCUGGAUGCCCUGGCGCCGUUCAAAAGCACGACGUGAUCAAAGCUUUGUCCGGCGGGCGCGCUGUGCGGGAACGUCUUGGCCUGCAACCACUCGUCGAUCAAAGGCUUGACGUGGCCAAAGCUCCGUCCGUCGGGCGCUCUGUGUGGGAGCGUUUAGGCAGACAACCUGUGGAGGCCUCACAACCGUUCUCUAAGCAAAGGCUGGUCUGGAGGAAGAUCGCCCCCCCAUGGAUCAAGGUCGACAAGCUGCUGCUGAGGAUGGGCCUGGACAGUCGUUGCAUCGUGGCAAGAAGGGUCGUCAUCGCACCAGGGGGAGAAGGCCCCGUUCUGGGGGCGCUGCUAGCGUGCCACCAGUGGAUGAUUUUUGCUUUGCUCGGCUACCCUCCCAUCAGCCGGCCGUGGUGAAGUCUGCAGGUUCGGCGACACGACCGGUUUGCGUCCUUGAGCGUGCAAGGGAUUUAACUCUGGUGGAGAACAAUCUUCGGCGGUGUGCUCUGUUUGUCAUGGUCAUUGGUUCGCGGCCGCCGGUGUCAGCUGAGCUUUUGGCGGCAGAAGUUGCAGCGGAGUAUGAUUUUGAUCCUGCAAGUUUUUCAGUUCACCGUUCAGCGCCUGAAGACUUCAUUAUUAUCAUGCAAAAUGAGCAAGCGGCGUUGCGUGUCUUCAACAACGGAGCUAUUCUCAACUCCCCUUCUGGUUCUUUCAAGUUCAUCAAGUGGUCAAAGCUUGCACACGCUGAAGCGGUUUCCCUCCCUUCCUUCGUGACAGUGAGUUUCGAGGGAAUCCCGCUGCACGCAUGGAGUCUGGAAACUGCAAGAAGUUUGUUGCGAGCGCACUGCACGGCUCUGGAGCUUCAUCCUGACACUGCUGCUCGUUUGGACUUCUCUUCCUUCAGGGUUCUUGGUUGGUGCCGGCAUCCAGAGCUCAUUCCGGCGGCUAUUGAUCUCUUGAUUCCGGAGCCGGUUCAGAGUUUUGAAGUGGGUACCACUGUGAAGCAUCUUCUUGCUUAUCGGGUGACGGCCUCGGUGUCUCUGAUCUCUCCGCCGGCGGGCGAUGUUUCCCCUCCUCUGUCGACGCCGGCGUCUGAUGAUGAUCAGGACACUAGGUCUCGUCGACGUCGCCUGCAACAAGCUUCUCCGGCAGGGCAGGGAGGCCCUGUUGGAGCGUUAGCCGUUCGGCGCCCCGUGCAUGAGAGGCUAGGGCCGCUGCCAAUCUGUCCCCGCCAUGUGGCUGUUUCACAGGAAGUGUUGGGUGGUGACCAACAGGAGGAUGAGUUGGGUGAUGACCAACAGAAGGAUCCCUCUAAUUUAGAGGAGCAUAUCACUGCUUUCAAGGAGUUAAAUAUUGGGGCUAUGCUUGAGUCGUCAGUGGAUAUUAAAAAGAGCAACGACAGGACAAAUGGUCAGGCCUGCAUGGUGGAGGCUGUGAUGACUCAUGUCUCUUUGGGUGCAGAUUCUAACCCCGGCCCACUUUCCCUGGUGGCUGGACCGUUUUUCAGCUCGGGGGUAGUAGCAGCGGCAUCGGGGCUGUCCGGUGGUGGCCCAUCUCACUCCUCCCUGCCAGGACCAUCUUCCCCCUCUUCACCCUUGAGGGCUCCGGCAGAUUCUUGCACUUUGGGAGGAUGCGAGAAGGAGCAGGCCAUACAUGUGCCACCCCCGAUAUCCCCGUCUCGGGUCACAGUCGACAUGGGUGGGCAGAAGUCAGCCUUGGUGGAUGUGCGAAAAAAUUCGCGUCGCCUCGCACGGAAAAGCCCCAUCAUUACAUAUUUUCGGCAGAGGAGGAAGAAGGACAGUCAACCAAAGCAGCUGUUGGACACGUCCACGCCCCCCCUACGGCUGCUAUAAAGUUUAUUGAUAGGCUGACCAAACCAGCAGGUGGGAUUCUGAGGGCGCCAGUCAGAAGGCCGCGACAAGGCAAAGCUACAGCCAAUGAGGUGGUUCCCCGACGCAGCAGAAGGGUCGCUGGAGUAGGAGUGGAGAGGCUACCUCCUCCUCCACCGGCCACGCAGGGCAAGAAGCGUAUCUUGAAGGAACUGGGUAUUGGGAAUGCUGAAGAAACUGAAAGUUUAAGGCCUGAAGACCUUGAUGAGUAUGCCAGGGUUUUCAGCACAGGGCUUUCAGAGGUGCAGAUCACGGCCAUGGCAGCGCUAUUUGGGUGGUCUAGGCCUAUGGAGAUGCUGCAAGGCGGACCAAUCUGCUGAUAUAUUGGGUGUCCCUCACUGGUAGUCGUUCUUCCUUCAUUCCUUAUGGAUCCCUCCAAAAUUCUAAUCUGGAAUGUACGAGGCCUUAAUGGGUCUGCUAGGCAGGAUGCUGUACGCACUUUGGUGGAUUCAGCUCGAGUUGAUGUGGUUUGUCUUCAAGAGACUAAAAUGGUGGAUGUUUCUCGGUUCCUUUUAUUGCGGAUGCUUGGACCAGCUUUUGAUAAUUUUGUUUUCCUACCUUCUAUUGGUGCUAGUGGUGGCAUCUUGGUAGCUUGGAAAAAUAGCAUUGGUGUUUGUGCUGGCAGUAGGGUGGAUGAAUAUAGCGUCUCUGUGAAUUUUCAUUCUAGCACCAGCUCUCCUUGGUGGCUUACAUGUGUGUAUGGUCCACAAGGGAACCGUGACAAGAUUCAGUUUUUGCAGUCUCUUAGAGAAGUAAGAGCUCUCUGUACUGGGCCGUGGCUUGUGCUCGGGGACUUCAAUCUGAUUUUAAGGGAGGAAGAGAAGAAUAAUAAUAACUUAGACCGUGCCAUGAUGGGUAGAUUCAGGAGAUGGGCAAAUGACUUGGCUCUUAAUGAAAUUCCGUUGAUUGGCCGGAAAUAUACAUGGUCAAAUGGGCACUCUAAUCCUACCCUGGUCAAAUUGGAUAGGGUUUUCUGCACAACAGAUUGGGAGGAACAAUUCCCAGAUUCUCUUCUCCAGAGCUCAGCCACGGAUGACUCCGACCAUUGCCCUUUGCUGCUUGGGUUUCAUGAUUUCAGCAGAGGAAAAGGGAGGUUUCACUUCCAAGCAUUCUGGACUAAGAUGGAGGGUUUUCUUGAUGUGGUAACUCAGGCCUGGGCGUCUGUUCCUGCAGGGCCUUGCCCACUUAUCACCUUGGCCAAGAAAUUAAAAGCAACGGCUAGAUGUUUGCAGAGCUGGAAUGACAAAAAAGUUGGGAAGAUUAAGCUGCAGCUUGAGAUGGCUAGGGAGCUCCUACAUCAAUUAGAGGUGGCGCAAGACAAUCACUCCUUAUCUCCUGCUGAAUUGUGGCUCCGAAACAUGCUCAAAAAGCACUCCCUUGCCCUCUCCUCUAUUUCUCGUACCAUGGCAAGGUUGAAAUCGCGGAUUGGAUGGCUCAAAGAAGGGGACGCCAAUACCUCUUUUUUCCAUGCACAAACAAGGUUCAGGAAGAAAAAGAAUUUCAUUGCAGCAAUUCACUCAGAGGAUGGGCAGAUCUGGACCGCUCAGGAAGGAAAGGCAGCAGCCUUCUUUAAUUUUUAUCAAUGGUUACUUGGUACUGCAGAAAUAAGGAAUGUUACAGUGGAUCUGGAUGCUCUAGGGAUGCCAUCUUAUGACCUUGCUGCCCUUGAUGUGCCUGUCUCGGAGGAGGAAGUCUGGGAUACAAUUAAGGCCCUUCCUUCGGACAAAUCCUCGGGUCCCGACGGGUUCACUGGUAGAUUUUACAAAAGCUGCUGGUCGGUAAUCAUGACUGAUUUCAUGGCGGCCGUUCACUGCAUUUGGGCUAGAAAUUUCAGAAACCUGGGUCCUCUGAAUUCAGCUUUCAUUACUCUUCUUCCCAAGGUGGAGGGGGCCACUAGUGUGAGGGAUUUCCGCCCAAUAAGUCUGGUUCAUAGUUUCGCGAAGUUGGUGACUAAAUUGUUGGCUAACCGGUUAGCAGGUCGGCUGCAAAAUAUGGUUUCCCCCAAUCAAACCGCUUUUAUUAAGAAACGGUUUAUUCUGGACAACUUUAUGCUAGUCCAGUAGACGACCAAAUUCCUACAUUGUCAGAAGCAGGCUCGUAUCCUUCUCAAGCUUGACAUUUCAAAGGCUUUUGACUCGGUUUUGUGGGCCUUCCUUCUCGAGGUCUUGAAAAAACUUGGUUUUGGACAGAUCUGGUGUGAUAUAAUAAGUGGGCUGUUAGCUACCUCUUCUACCAGGAUUUUACUAAAUGGUCUGCCAGGGGAAUGGAUUGGGCAUCAACGCGGGCUGAGGCAGGGUGAUCCACUAUCGCCUAUGUUGUUUAUUCUUGUAAUGGAUGUCUUGAAUCUGCUUGUGCAGCGAGCUUCUGAGGAAGGGCUUCUUCAACCUCUCUCUUCAAGGAAUAUGCAGCACCGUAUCUCGCUGUACGCGGAUGACGCAGUGAUAUUUCUAUGUCCGACUGCCCCAGACAUCAGUAUGGUUAUGGAUAUUCUUCAUUUAUUUGGUUCAGCUUCGGGUCUAAGGACUAAUAUCCAGAAGAGUAGUGUGUUCCCAAUCUGCUGUGGGGAAGAAGAUUUGAAUUGUUUACAAGACUUGCUGCCAUGUAAUAUUUCAGAUUUUCCAUGUAAGUACCUUGGUCUGCCUUUGUCUCCCAAGAAACUCACAAGGGACCAGGUUCAGGCCAUCGUUGAUAGAGUAGCUAGCCUUCUGCCAGGAUGGAAAGCUGAACUUAUGACCAGGGCUGGUAGAGCUAUUCAUGUGCAGUUUGUCAUGACGGCAAAGAUGAUUUAUGCAGCUUUGGCACUCGACCUUCCUGUUUGGGCCAUCAAAGCUAUUGAUAAGCUGAGGAAGGGCUUCCUCUGGAGGGGCAGGAAAGAGUUCCGUGGUGGUCAUUGCCUCUUGGCUUGGCCUAAGGUUACCCGUCCCAAGGAGCUGGGUGGUCUUGGGAUUAGUGAGCUAAAGAACCUAUGUUGGGCUCUGAGAGCUCGUUGGCCAUGGCUGCAGAAAACAGACCCCAGUAGGCCUUGGACGGACUUCCCCACUCGUGUAUGUAAGGUGGUUAAAAAUCUGAUCGCUGCAGCCAUUGUUACUAAGCUCGGUGAUGGAGCCAAUACCCUCUUCUGGAAGGAUAGAUGGUUGGAUGAGAAAUGUAUUAAGGACAUAGCUCCUGCAGUGUUUGAUUUGGUGCCCCUGCGUCUUGCCAACAGACGGUUGGUCAAAGAUGCGCUCCCUAAUUUUCAGUGGAUCUCCGAUGUGAAUGGGGCAAUUUCAGUUAGAGUCAUUGCUGAAUUCUUGGAACUUUGUGAAGUGCUUGAUGCAGUUGUGCUCCAACCUGGAAUAAGGGAUCACCACUUAUGGAAAUUCAGCGCUUCAGGGGAGUAUACAACUAGUUCUGCUUAUAAAGCUCUCUUCCUUGGUUCGGUUCAGUUCGAACCAGCAGAACGUGUGUGGAAAUCUUGGGCUCCUGGAAAGUGCAAGUUCUUUAUAUGGCUUGUGGAACAUAAUAGGUGCUGGACUGCUGACAGGCUUAUAAAAAGAGGACUAGACCGACCUGAGCAGUGCCCCCUGUGCGACCAAGAGGCUGAAACCAUGAAUCAUUUGCUGGUCAAAUGUGUUUUUGCCAAACAGUUCUGGUUUCAUUUCCUUAGUUCAGUGGGGCUGCAGGAACUGUGUCCAGUUCAUGAGGAUUCCUUUGAGUCGUGGUGGAAGUCUAGCAGCUCUCGGGCAUCUGAUUUUUUGAGAAAAGGUUUUAAUUCUUUAGUGAUCCUAGGUGCUUGGACCAUUUGGAAGCAUAGGAAUAGAUGCGUCUUUGAUGGUUGUAAUCCCAGCCUGGUCACAGCCCUUAGAGUGGCUAGGGAAGAGGCGGUGCUAUGGUCCUUGACUGGAGCCAAGGCCCUGUCCUUCCUCCAAGUUGAUGAGUUGCUAGCUUAGAUCAGCGUUGUGGGUCGUGUUUCCUCCAUGAUAGUCGGUGAUCCUUAGUUAGUCUUUAAGUGGUGUGUGUGUUCUGUACCGGGGUUCUAUCCCCCUUUCCUAUUCUUCUAUUAAUGCAAUGAUGCGCAACUCUCCUGUGUAUUCCAGAAAAAAGAAGAGCAAGCAGUAUUACAUUUAGUGGGGUUCACUUGGACUGGCAAUGUAGAAUUGUAAAUUUGUAAUUAGCUAUAUUACCCAAUAGGUCAAUACUCUAAUUCCGAAACAAAACUUUUGUGUGAUGAUUUUUAGGGGGAGGGGGCAUCAUUAAACUUAGACCCACAUACCCUAACAGAGCCAUGUCUUAGCACUUAUUAGAUAGUCACUGAUCCUGAUAUGUUCCUAGUUUUGGUUUCUCAACAACAGAUUCAUUCUUUCAGUAGUGCCUAUGAACCAUAAGAGUACUUUUGUAAGAAAUUGGAUGCUGUUUGAUUGUUUUUUCUUAAUAUAUUAAUUCUUAAAACUUGACUUAGCCUCUGUGUAUUGUAUUAAGAAGAUGUUCUCAUGCAGGUUAAGAAAAUCUUUGAACCCAUGUUCCAUCCAUACACAAUGGCACCAUAGCCUAUGUAAGAACGACCACGACUGAGGCCAGGCCUUAGGCCUAUGCUUUAGCGUAGGAUAUAUGAGGGGAUUUUUAACCCUAGCCUUAAAUUCGUUUCUACAUGGAGUUGAAAUCAGGAGAGUGCUACCUAGACCAUAUAACCAACUCAGCUAGAGGCCCUUUCUUAAUCUAUUAAUUCUUAUGAAUCAUAUAUGAUACUAUAUAUGGUUAAAAAAUCAGAUGAAAAGGUUCAUUCUCAUGUCAAUUAAUAUAUGCAAUGGAUAGAUAAACUCUAAAUUUGCCCAACAAGAUCUAAGACCGGCUCCAACAAUGCACUGUAAACCGUUCUCAACUCUAAAUUUAGGGUUCAGACUGGUACUCUAGGCGCCCAGCAAGGCACUCUAAAUGGCACUCUAAAUUAUAGAGGACGCCGCACGCACUCUAGAUGUGGAGACUUCCAGGUGUCCGCUAUCCGGGCGAGGGUUCGGGCUCCCGCGGUGGUGAAAAAUCCGGAUGCGCUGUUGUCCCGUCGCUGGCGACUUCGAUCCAUCUCGGCGAGGGGGCCUCGCGGCGCGACUCGUCGGCGGAGCCGGCCAAGCUGGGCUCCAAGAGGCCGUGCGCGAGCGGGUCCGGCGGCGGACCGCUCUCGGUGGCUGGAGGCAAGGAGGUGGCCGGCGACGAGACAAAGAUCCAAGACUCGGGUGCAACCGUCGGUGUUCGUCGACGUCGAACCGCCAUCGCGAAGAAGCUGAGAAGAUCCACGGCGCCGACGAAGGAAGGUGCGGAGAAACGCAAGCGCAUCUCGUCGCCGCCAUCGUCAUCGUCUUCCAUUCGGUCGGGUGCUCCAGAUCCGAAGAGAAAAAGCAUGGGUACGGACUGGAACCAAGUUAUGGCACAAUAUGGCACUUUCCUAUCCAAGGAUGAUGGCACUCAGUUUCAGAACACUGCAUUUGCUCCUCUGCCUGAUAUACCAGCCCAGGGCUCACCAGCAGCACCUCUAGUGAAGAAGGCUCCUCAACGCACAAAGCUAGCAAAUUUCACGUCUGAAGAGGAUAUGAGGGUUUGUCAAGCUUGGUUGGCUGUGAGUUGUGAUCCCAUUGUCAACACUGGUCAGAAGCGUCAAGGAUUUUGGAAUCGGAUUACAGAGGCAUACAACUCUCGCAGAGGAUCAAUGCCAGAGAGGUCUAUGAAAUCUCUCAUGAGCAGGUGGGACAGUAUCAAAACUCAAUGUUCUACCUUUGCUGGAUACAUGAUGGCUGUGCUUCGACAAAACCCAAGUGGCAUGACUGAUGCAGAUAAGACUUCUCUUGCGGCUACUCGGUUUGCUGCUGUUGAAAAGAAGCCCUUCCAUUUCUUACAUUGUUGGUCCAUAUUGAAGGAUCAACCAAAAUGGAUGGACCAACACAUGGGUAACCAAAAUCCUCCACCCAACCCAAUUGGUACCCAAUCAAAUACUAUUGACUUAGAUGGUGCUGAAGACUCAGGUCCAUCAAGCUUUACUUCGAAGAGACCGCUUGGUCGUGAUUCAUCCAAGGAAAAGGCAAAGAAGCAAAGAUCUGAGAACACAUCAUCCACUGAUUCUGAGUACCUAACACGGAUGGGUGAGCUUUCUUUGGAACGGUUAUCUGUCUACAAAUCAGUAGCUUCAACUGAGGAGAAGAAGUUGGAGUCCAUGAACAAACAUGAGAGGCAGAAACUGAUAUUGGAGAGGAAGAAGCUAAAUUUAGAGAAACUGAAGAUGGAACGACAAAAGGUGAAGGAGGACACGGAACAGGAAGUUCUGAUAUUGAGCAUGGAUUUGACUAAAUGUAACCCCCUACUUCGACAGUACUACGAGGCUAAACAACAGGAGAUUCUCGCAAGGGUUACUGGAACCUCGUCGUCAAGCAAGUAAACGUUGAGCAAGGCAUUGUAGUGGUUGAGGAAGUACUGUUAUUUGUUUUCGAGAACAAGUUAAUGUUUCUGCACUUCCGCACUUGACAAUUUUCUGUUGUGUGAUGUUUGAACUCUGUCAUGUUGCUUAAUAAUAGUAGACUUGUUAUUUCAUUCGUCAA